UACGUAGGGGGCAAGCGUUGUCCGGAAUUAUUGGGCGUAAAGAGCGUGUAGGCGGUCCGGUAAGUCAGCUGUGAAAGUCAAGGGCUCAACCCUUGAAUGCCGGUUGAUACUGUCGGGCUAGAGUCCGGAAGAGGCGAGUGGAAUUCCUGGUGUAGCGGUGGAAUGCGCAGAUAUCAGGAGGAACACCGAUGGCGAAGGCAGCUCGCUGGGACGGUACUGACGCUAAGGCGCGAAAGCGUGGGGAGCGAACAGG
rnacentral:rRNA from 1 species